AGGACAAACGCUGGCGGCGUGCUUAACACAUGCAAGUCGAACGGUUCCUCUUCGGAGGAAUAGUGGCGGACGGGUGAGUAACACGUAGUUGACCUGCCCAUUAGUGGGAACAACUUCCCGAAAGGGAGGCUAAUACCGCAUAAGCUCUGUUACGUUGGUAAUAGAGGAAACCUACACCGCAAGGUGGGGCUAGUGGAGGGACUGCGGCGGAUUAGCUAGAUGGUGGGUAAUGGCCUACAUGG
rnacentral:rRNA from 1 species